GAUGAACGCUGGCGGCGUGCUUAACACAUGCAAGUCGAACGAAGCACCUUAUUCUGAUUUCUUCGGAAUGAAAAAUUUGGUGACUGAGUGGCGGACGGGUGAGUAACGCGUGGGUAACCUGCCUCAUACAGGGGGAUAACAGUUAGAAAUGGCUGCUAAUACCGCAUAAGACCACAGUACUGCAUGGUACAGUGGUAAAAACUCCGGUGGUAUGAGAUGGACCCGCGUCUGAUUAGGUAGUUGGUGAGGUAACGGCCCACCAAGCCGACGAUCAGUAGCCGACCUGAGAGGGUGACCGGCCACAUUGGGACUGAGACACGGCCCAG
rnacentral:rRNA from 1 species